rnacentral:rRNA from 1 species
UACGUAGGGGGCAAGCGUUGUCCGGAAUCAUUGGGCGUAAAGAGCGUGUAGGCGGCCAGAAAAGUCCGCUGUGAAAACUCGAGGCUCAACUUCGAGCUGUCGGUGGAAACUUUCUGGCUAGAGUCCGGAAGAGGAGAAUGGAAUUCCUGGUGUAGCGGUGAAAUGCGCAGAUAUCAGGAGGAACACCGAUGGCGAAGGCAGGUCUCUGGGACGGUACUGACGCUGAGACGCGAAAGCGUGGGGAGCGAACAGG